CGCCUCCGGAUCCCUCCGCCGCAGCCGGCGCUGGGGCUUUUUCACCUCCCCCACCCCCACCGCUUCAUCCCGGUUAUCCCGCCCGAAGUUGCGGCGAGGAUGCGGGAAGGGAAACGCUUCUCCCGCCCUGUUCCUGUAACGGGGUCCCGGCUACAGGGACAGCGGGACGGAGCCUUCUGCUGAGUGGGGGAGAAGAGGCGGUUGGGACUACUUGGCGUUGCUGCCACGGCCUCGGCGGAAGGAGCGCGCUUGAGCGAGCGGCUGUGCGGUGCUGCGGCUCUCCUCAGCGCUUCCUGGAAACUCCCGCUUAGGAGCGAGGGGGGGCGGGAGCGAAAGAGUCCCAGGCCGGGAAUGGGAAGGGGGCAGGGCACAGCGCCUUCCCCGUGCCCGGACGCCCCCCGAGCCCGCUGACACCCCUCAGACCGACACUCACCCCCUCUUCCUGUGCAGAUGGAGCAGGGAGAAAAUCAAUUAGGUUGGAAAAGACAUCUGAGAUCAUCGAGUCCAACCUUUCCUGGCUCUGGAUGCACUGAGUUUUCCUUUCUCCCAUGUGUGGAUGUGCUCCUGUUCACCUCACUUCCAGACAACUUCAGUAGAGAAGGAUGAGGCACAAAGAGGAGGAACUCACCCCGGUCCCACCCGGCGCUGCAGAAGGAACCAGAAUUACCAGCCUUUGCUCUGCCUCGCCCAGGGUGUGCCCUGAUGGAAACAAACUGUCGGACAUUUUCUCCAAACACACUGCACAGCCCUGAACAUAUUUUGACUUGAUCUUCAUUAUGAAGUGAGUGAUUUCUUCGCUAGAGGAAGCAGAAUCCCAGUGAGCAGCAGCCGAAUGUCAGGUCCACAACACUUCAGUUUUCAUUCCCAGCCAUGAGGCUGUGUCAUUUCAGCACCAACACAAAUUUCAAGCAGAGUCACUCUCUCCAAAGCUUGGCCUGAAGAACUGACUUAAAAAUGUUUUCAUAGGAGAGAACCAUGGUCACCCUGGGGUAUGAGGAGCUCAAAGCAAAUAAUUCUUUCCAUUAAAAAUAAAAAUAUUGAUCUUU